AUUAGGUACAUACUUUAAAGGGUAUGUAUUUGGCUAUUUGACAAGCUGAUGCUUUCAGCUUUGAUUGACUGUUACUUAGAUUUAACACAUAUUUGCAGUUUCCUACUGUUAAUAUGUGAGCUUUAGUACAGAAGUAGAUAAAAAGGAUAUCAACAAUCAGAACAAAGUUCUAGUCUGGAGGGGGCGGGGUACCGGAAGCAGUUUAUAUAUAGCCUAAGCUCUACCACCUUGCCUUUUUAUCUCAGAAUGCAACCAGUGGCUAGAAUGAGCAUAUUGUACAGAGUCUGCUAGAAAUGGUGAGAAGAGCCUGGGAAGUCCGUCUUUUCUGGAUUCUGCCAUCUGCAUUCUACUUGGGAAAGAAGGACUUUUGGUUCAGUUUCAGAUGUCUUUUGCAUCCACACCAGCUUCCAGAUACCUGCAGCUAGAGGGUUUGUUUGAAUCACCAUGAAGACUAUGACACUCUUUGAUUGCUAAAGAAAUCCAUGGGUUUGAGGGGCACUUAUCAUUCUUUCCAAGAUGAGUCCUGUUAUCAACCACUACUUCCUAAACAGUCUAUGUCAAGGUAUUUGAGCAUCCUAAUAAAUGCAAUCAGUGGCA
rnacentral:lncRNA from 1 species